GAGAGCUCAUCCUAACCUCCAGUGCUGGGAUUUCACAAAAUUAAAACACCUUAAAUAUGCAACAUUGUUAGCAAAUGAACAGCAACAGAGAAAAAUCAUUUCUUCCCCUUUUUUAUCUCCAUCUUCAAACUUUAAUUAAAACAACUAUUUUUACAUAAACUACAAAGUCACAGCCAGCAGCAUGUGCAGCAGAGACAGAUAGCCUGAGGUUGCCCAGGGACUUUUCAUUUUAUCUUUGCGCAGACCUAGCACUGCCUGCCAGGUAAAACUAGUGUAACGAGGGCUCCGGCGUCUCCACCACGCGUCAGCCCUGCCGAGGCCAAGAUGAGCACGCUGAUAACGCGGGCUGCCUGACAGCCAGGGGAGAUUCUGUAAAUCAUGCUGCUCCCAUUGAUUACAGUCGGGAAGAGCAUUAACCCUCCUUCACCCCAAGAUACGCUGUCUCCACAAGUGUUUGUAACAUCAACAUGUUACGGGAGCUUUUGGAAGAUGAAUUCAUUGCUAGAGAGAAGACCCCUUCGCAAAAUAAAGAAAUGCCAACAAGCCUGA
rnacentral:lncRNA from 1 species